rnacentral:tRNA from 1 species
GGUUCCAAAGAGUAGUGGUUAGUACAUCUGCUUUACACGCAGAAGGUCCAGGGUUGGCGCCCCAGUGGAGCCA